rnacentral:tRNA from 1 species
GGAGGUUUAGCUCAGUGGUAUAGCGCCUGCCUUGUAAGCAGGCAGUCGUGUGUUCAAUCCCCG